rnacentral:rRNA from 1 species
AUUGAACGCUGGCGGCAGGCCUAACACAUGCAAGUCGAGCGGAUGAAGGGAGCUUGCUCCUGGAUUCAGCGGCGGACGGGUGAGUAAUGCCUAGGAAUCUGCCUGGUAGUGGGGGAUAACGUCCGGAAACGGGCGCUAAUACCGCAUACGUCCUGAGGGAGAAAGUGGGGGAUCUUCGGUCCUCACGCUAUCAGAUGAGCCUAGGUCGGAUUAGCUAGUUGGUGGGGUAAAGGCCUACCAAGGCGACGAUCCGUAACUGGUCUGAGAGGAUGAUCAGUCACACUGGAACUGAGACACGGUCCAGACUCCUACGGGAGGCAGCAGUGGGGAAUAUUGGACAAUGGGCGAAAGCCUGAUCCAGCCAUGCCGCGUGUGUGAAGAAGGUCUUCGGAUUGUAAAGCACUUUAAGUUGGGAGGAAGGGCAGUAAGUUAAUACCUUGCUGUUUUGACGUUACCAACAGUAUAAGCACCGGCUAACUUCGUG